GUACUGUGCAAACGUUAUUCGGAAUCACUGGGCUUAAAGGGUGCGUAGGCGGUUGAUUAAGUAGGGUGUGAAAGCUCUCGGCCUAACCGAGGAAUUGCGCUCUAAACUGAUCAACUUGAGUGAGAUAGGGGUGUGCGGAACUUCCAGUGGAGCGGUGAAAUGUGUUGAUAUUGGAAGGAACGCCGGUGGCGAAAGCGGCACACUGGGUCUCAACUGACGCUGAGGCACGAAAGCCAGGGUAGCGAACGGGGAUUAGAUACCCCGGUAGUCCUGGCUGUAAACGAUGAGCACUAGACGGGAGGGGCUUCGGCCCAUCCGGUCGCAGCGAAAGCAAUAAGUGCUCCGCCUGGGGAGUAUGGUCGCAAGGCUG
rnacentral:rRNA from 1 species